rnacentral:misc_RNA from 13 species
AUCAACGGUAGCGGUUGAAGUGUGGUGAUGGGAAUACCUGAUAACCUAACAUACGUACAUAUUUAGGUGCACUCAUGAGCGUACUAGUUGGAAAACUAUUUCAUGGUCCCCGACCUUCAAUUGCGUUGCGGCCCCGACAUUCGCCGUGGAAAACUUGAUAAAUCCAG